rnacentral:rRNA from 1 species
AUGCAAAGAACUUUGAAAAGAGAGUUAAAGAGUACCUGAAAUUGCUGAAAGGGAAGCGAAGGAAACCAGUGCCGUAGUGUUGUCAUACUUCCCCUUCUGCUUGCGGAUGGGGCGCUGUGACAGUACRUGGAUCAGCAUCAACUUUACCUUGGACCAAAUGGGUGAUUGGUAGACAGCCCCUUUCGAGGGGCCAGUACUAGUCAUUUCUGGUCUGAGCGAGGUUGAGGUCAGUCAUUCUGUGCUCGUGAUGCUGAUGAAAUGGUUUUCUUUACCCCGUCUUGAAACACGGACCAAGGAGUCUAAGAUUUGUGCGAGUAAAAAGGUGGUAAACCUUUAUGCGUAAUGAAAGUAACAGUGGUUAGAAGUCGWUAAGACAUGCAUAAUCCGCCGGCUUCAAUCUUACGAGAGAAAGGUCUGAGUGUGAGCGCAAAUCUUGGGACCCGAAAGAUGGUGAACUAUGCUUGAGUAGGGUGAAGCAAUGGGAAACUUUUGUGGAAGCUCGUAGAGAUUCUGACGUGCAAAUCGAUCUUCAAACUUGAGUAUAGGGGCGAAAGACUAAUCGAACCAUCUAGUAGCUGGUUCCCUUCGAAAUUUCCCUCAGGAUAGCUGCGAUCGAAACAUUUAUAUCA